UACGGAGGAUCCGAGCGUUAUCCGGAUUUAUUGGGUUUAAAGGGUGCGUAGGCGGCUCUUUAAGUCAGCGGUGAAAUUUUGCAGCUUAACUGUAACAGUGCCGUUGAUACUGGGGAGCUAGGAUUUGGUUGCUGUGGGUGGAAUGUGUGGUGUAGCGGUGAAAUGCUUAGAGAUCACACGGAAUAUCGAUUGCGAAGGCAGCUCACAAAGCCAAGAUUGACGCUGAGGCACGAAAGUGUGGGGAUCAAACAGGAUUAGA
rnacentral:rRNA from 1 species